rfam:Ictidomys tridecemlineatus contig026180, whole genome shotgun sequence.
AGGGUUGUAGCUCAGUGAUAGAGCACUUGCCUUGCGUGCAUGAGGCCCUAGGUUAGAUCCUCAGCACCACAU